AAGCUUAAUCCUAAUCUAUUGCACCUGAUCUACCUAAUCAAGUGCCUGUCUAAUUUUUGGUUGCUAAUUCUUUCAAUCCUAAUGAAAUACACCUGGUCAAUGUAAUUAGGCCCUCAGCUAAUGUUCUUAGACUAGCCUUUUAGUAGGUUCCACAACUUCUGUUGGAAAGUGAGGGUGAGUGAACCUUUUUGAGUGCUGCUGAACUCUUGCUUUAACCUUUAAAUUAAAUGCACAAUAUAAUUGUUUUUCUUUCCAGGUGUGUUGGAAAAUGAGGGUGUUAAUGUUGAUUGCUGCUGAAUUAUCAAUCUUAAAUACACCUGGUCAAUCUACUUGCGUCCCUCAGCCUUGUUCUUCGUCCAACCCUUUCGUGUUCCACAAGUUGAUGUUGGAAAGUGAGGGAUAUCAGCGAGUUCUAAUGUGACUCCUAAUGUUGUCAGUUCCUCAAGUUUGUUGAAAAGUGAGGGUUGAUUUUGGAAAGUAAGGG